rnacentral:rRNA from 1 species
GUGGGGAAUUUUGGACAAUGGGCGCAAGCCUGAUCCAGCCAUGCCGCGUGCAGGAUGAAGGCCUUCGGGUUGUAAACUGCUUUUGUACGGAACGAAAAGACUUCUUCUAAUACAGGAGGUCCAUGACGGUACCGUAAGAAUAAGCACCGGCUAACUACGUGCCAGCAGCCGCGGUAAUACGUAGGGUGCAAGCGUUAAUCGGAAUUACUGGGCGUAAAGCGUGCGCAGGCGGUUAUAUAAGACAGAUGUGAAAUCCCCGGGCUCAACCUGGGAACUGCAUUUGUGACUGUAUAGCUAGAGUACGGUAGAGGGGGAUGGAAUUCCGCGUGUAGCAGUGAAAUGCGUAGAUAUGCGGAGGAACACCGAUGGCGAAGGCAAUCCCCUGGACCUGUACUGACGCUCAUGCACGAAAGCGUGGGGAGCAAACAGGAUUAGAAACCCUAGUAGUCC